rnacentral:rRNA from 1 species
GAUGAACGCUGGCGGCGUGCCUAAUACAUGCCAGUCGAGCGAACGGACGAGAAGCUUGCUUCCCUGAUGUUAGCGGCGGACGGGUGAGUAACACGUGGAUAACCUACCUAUAUGACUGGGAUAACUUCGGGAAACCGGUGCUAAUGACAGAUCAUAUUUUGAACCGCUUGGUUCAAAAGUUCAAGGCGCUCUUCCUGUCACUUUUAGAUGGUUCCGUGUUGCAUUAGCUAGUUGGUAAGGUAACGGCUUACCAAGGCAACGAUGCAUAGCCGACCUGAGAGGGUGAUCAGCCACACUGGAACUGAGACACGGUCCAGACUCCUACGGGAGGCAGCAGUGGGGAAUCUUCCGCAAUGGGCGAAAGCCUGACGGAGCAACGCCGCGUGAGUGAUGAAGGUCUUCGGAUCGUAAAACUCUGUUAUUAGGGAAGAACAUAUGUGUAAGUAACCGUGCACAUCUUGACGGUACCUAAUCAGAAAGCCACGGCUAACUACGUG